GGGUAUGAACCUGAAUCUGAACCUGAACCCGGGGUGCUAGACACCUCUGCAGGGUCGGCCCUGGGAGAAUAUUAAAAUUUAAGUUUUAUAUAUAUUGUGAUGAAUUUUAAAAGAAAAAUAUGAUUUUUGGAUAUUAGGUUCUGCGAGGAAUUUGUGAAAUUAAUUGGAUUUAUUGUGGAUCGCGUUCAAUGUUAGUAAUGAACUGCCUUCUC
rnacentral:lncRNA from 1 species